GUCCAGACUCCUACGGGAGGCAGCAGUGGGGAAUAUUGCACAAUGGGGGAAACCCUGAUGCAGCGACGCCGCGUGAGCGAUGAAGUAUUUCGGUAUGUAAAGCUCUAUCAGCAGGGAAGAAGAUGACGGUACCUGACUAAGAAGCCCCGGCUAACUACGUGCCAGCAGCCGCGGUAAUACGUAGGGGGCAAGCGUUAUCCGGAUUUACUGGGUGUAAAGGGAGCGUAGACGGCGAUGCAAGCCAGAUGUGAAAGCCCGGGGCUCAACCCCGGGACUGCAUUUGGAACUGUGUGGCUGGAGUGUCGGAGAGGCAGGCGGAAUUCCUAGUGUAGCGGUGAAAUGCGUAGAUAUUAGGAGGAACACCAGUGGCGAAGGCGGCCUGCUGGACGAUGACUGACGUUGAGGCUCGAAAGCGUGGGGAGCAAACAGGAUUAGAUCCCCGCGUA
rnacentral:rRNA from 1 species